AACGAACGCUGGCGGCAGGCUUAACACAUGCAAGUCGAGCGCCCCGCAAGGGGAGCGGCAGACGGGUGAGUAACGCGUGGGAAUCUACCCAUCUCUACGGAAUAACGCAUGGAAACGUGUGCUAAUACCGUAUACGUCCUUCGGGAGAAAGAUUUAUCGGAGAUGGAUGAGCCCGCGUUGGAUUAGCUAGUUGGUGGGGUAAAGGCCUACCAAGGCGACGACGGGUAGCUGGUCGGAGAGGAUGGCCAGCCACAUUGGGACUGAGACACGGCCCAGACUCCUACGGGAGGCAGCAGUGGGGAAUCUUGCGCAAUGGGCGAAAGCCUGACGCAGCGACGCCGCGUGUGGGAUGAAGGCCUUCGGGUCGUAAACCACUGUCGGGAGGGACGAAAUCAAUGACGGUACCUCCAAAGGAAGCACCGGCUAACUCUGUGCCAGCCGCCGCGGUAACAC
rnacentral:rRNA from 1 species